UACAGAGGGGGCAAGCGUUAUUCGGAAUUAUUGGGCGUAAAGGGCGCGUAGGCGGCUUGGCAAGUGGAAGGUGAAAUCCCUCGGCUUAACCGAGGAACUGCCCUCCAAACUGCUUUGCUUGAGUCCGGGAGAGGUGAGUGGAAUUCCCAGUGUAGCGGUGAAAUGCGUAGAUAUUGGGAGGAACACCAGUGGCGAAGGCGGCUCACUGGACCGGAACUGACGCUGAGGCGCGAAAGCGUGGGGAGCAAACAGG
rnacentral:rRNA from 1 species